UACAGAGGCCCCAAGCGUUACUGAGAAUCACUGGGUUUAAAGGGUGCGUAGGUGGCGCGUUAAGUCCGUUGUGAAAUCCCUUGGCUCAACCAAGGAAUGGCUUCGGAUACUGGCGUGCUUGAGGCUGGUAAGGGUCACUGGAACUGACGGUGGAGCGGUGAAAUGCGUAGAUAUCGGAAGGAACAUCAGUGGCGAAGGCGACUUCCUGGACCAAUACUGACGCUCAGGUGCGAAAGCGUGGGGAGCAAACAGG
rnacentral:rRNA from 1 species